UCAUUUGUGAUUCCAUCCCAGGAUAACGUGAUCCAAUCCCUGCGCCUUCCUUGACGCUUGUGCUACCCGAAGUCACCGAAGGCGAACGUGCAGAUGGCGGCCGCCAUCUCGAGGAGCGGCGCGGCGCUCUUCAUCUCUACCAUCAAUACCCGCCUCCAUUACAAUAAGAUGGUCUCCGUCUCUGCCCGUUGCUUCUCCAUCGUCCGCUCCCACGGGACCUUCACCGGUCGCCACUACUCGCUCCUCCGCUCAUCCCGAACGGCGAGAGUAUACUGCUCCGACUCCCCUCAGUCGACGGCCGCCGAGGCCGCCAGUGCGACGGCGGAGGAAGGCGCUCCUCCUGGUCCCCCUCCGGACCCGCUUCGUGAGUCGGCCGACUCGCUGGACAUCCGGGUCGGGCGCAUCCUCAAGGCGUGGAGGCACCCCGAGGCCGAUUCCCUGUAUGUGGAGGAAGUAGACGUCGGCGAGCCGGAGCCGAGGACCAUCUGUAGCGGUCUCGUCAACUACAUUCCUUUGGAGCACCUCCAGGACAUCAAAGUUGUCGUUCUUGCUAACCUGAAGCCCAGGAACAUGCGAGGAAUCAAGUCAAAUGGAAUGCUUAUGGCUGCUUCUGAUGAAUCUCAUGAAAAUGUUGAGCUUCUUAUACCUCCCGAAGGUUCAAUCCCUGGUGAAAGAAUUUGGUUCGGCUCAGAGGAUGACAAAGAUAAGCAACCCGAUGCUGCAUCUCCUAAUCAGGUCCAAAAGAAAAAGAUAUGGGAGUCUGUUCAACCUCAUCUGAAAUCCACAGAUGAUUGUGUGGCUGUUCUGGGCAUCCACCCUAUGAGGACAUCUGGAGGCAUGGUUACAUGUAAAACUUUGAAGAAUGCAAGGAUAUCCUGAACGAUUGAUGUACCAAUGCCAAUGUAUCUAUUGUGUCACAUGAAGAGAUGAACAUAUGCAAGAACCACAUAACAUCUGAUUGUGGAAUUUUAUUACAUGAGAUGGCUUCAGUGUCACACUGUGUAGGAGUUUUCAGCAGGUUGAGGAUGAAGUAUAAUGACUGCCACAGUCUAGCAUGCUUUCUGUCAUGCCUAGGAGGAGAUGAUGGAGACAGUAUUGAACUGAAGUGAUUGUUUUGAUGCAUAAAGAUGGUGUAACUGUGGAGUAUCACCAUGGAAUAGUGUUGAUGAGAAGCUUGGAGGCCAAGUGCAAUGAGAGGCAAUCCAUUCCAUCUAGGACUGAAGAUGGACAAACUUGAAACUUUGGAAGCUUUUGAUGUAAGUAGGUUGAUUUGUUUGUACACAAACACAAGGACAACAGCAAAUGGCUUGUGCAUGAACCAUUGGUUAAUAAGGACAGCUGAGCUGAUGGGAUGUGACUGAUAUUAGAAUCAUUGAUGCAAUGAGGCCAGAAGAGAUACUGUGAUGUGACUCAGAGCCAACAUGUUCAAUGUUGAACUCUCUCCAUGCAAAUACUGUGUAAAUACUUUGUCAUGUCACUAUCCAUUGCAGCCAUCAUUGUUGUUAAUACUAUAUAAACCAAUGGCUUUGAGUUGUGCUGUA